UCCAGGCCCUACGGGGUGCAGCAGGCGCGAAACCUCCGCAAUGUGAGAAAUCGCGACGGGGGGAUCCCAAGUGCCAUUCUUAACGGGAUGGCUCUUCAUUAGUGUAAAGAGCUUUUGGAAUAAGAGCUGGGCAAGACCGGUGCCAGCCGCCGCGGUAACACCGGCAGCUCUAGUGGUAGCAGUUUUUAUUGGGCCUAAAGCGUCCGUAGCCGGUUUAAUAAGUCUCUGGUGAAAUCCUGCAGCUUAACUGUGGGAAUUGCUGGAGAUACUAUUAGACUUGAGAUCGGGAGGGGUUAGAGGUACUCCCAGGGUAGAGGUGAAAUUCUGUAAUCCUGGGAGGACCGCCUGUUGCGAAGGCGUCUGACUGGAACGAUUCUGACGGUGAGGGACGAAAGCUAGGGGCGCGAACCGGAUUAGAUACCCGGGUAGUCCUAGCUGUAAACGAUGCGGACUUGGUGUUGGGGUGGCUUUGAGCUGUCCCAGUGCCGAAGGGAAGCUGUUAAGUCCGCCGCCUGGGAAGUACGGUCGCAAGACUGAAACUUAAAGGAAUUGGCGGGGGGGCACCACAACGCGUGGAGCCUGCGGUUUAAUUGGAGUCAACGCCGG
rnacentral:rRNA from 1 species